UACGUAGGGUGCGAGCGUUAAUCGGAAUUACUGGGCGUAAAGCGUGCGCAGGCGGUGAUGUAAGACCGAUGUGAAAUCCCCGGGCUUAACCUGGGAACUGCAUUGGUGACUGCAUUGCUGGAGUAUGGCAGAGGGGGGUGGAAUUCCACGUGUAGCAGUGAAAUGCGUAGAGAUGUGGAGGAACACCGAUGGCGAAGGCGGCUACCUGGACCAGCACUGACACUGAGGCACGAAAGCGUGGGGAGCAAACAGG
rnacentral:rRNA from 1 species